rnacentral:rRNA from 1 species
AGCGAACGCUGGCGGCAGGCCUAACACAUGCAAGUCGAACGAACUCUUCGGAGUUAGUGGCGGACGGGUGAGUAACACGUGGGAACGUGCCUUUAGGUUCGGGAUAACUCAGGGAAACUUGUGCUAAUACCGAAUGUGCCCUUCGGGGGAAAGAUUUAUCGCCUUUAGAGCGGCCCGCGUCUGAUUAGCUAGUUGGUUGGGGUAAUGGCCCACCAAGGCGACGAUCAGUAGCUGGUCUGAGAGGAUGACCAGCCACAUUGGGACUGAGACACGGCCCAAACUCCUACGGGAGGCAGCAGUGGGGAAUUUUGCGCAAUGGGCGAAAGCCUGACGCAGCCAUGCCGCGUGUAUGAUGAAGGUCUUAGGAUUGUAAAAUACUUUCACCGGUGAAGAUAAUGACUGUAGCCGGAGAAGAAGCCCCGGCUAACUUCGUGCCAGCCGCCGCAGUAACAC